AAUCCACCCAUCUUGGCCUCUUAAAGUGGUGGAAUUACAGGUGUGAACCACCGCACCCAGCCAUUAGCUUGAAUUUAUAAUGUUUAUAACCUUAAACAUCUGCCAGACAUAUUAGUUUAUUAAAUGAGUAAACCCAAAUAGAAUAAAGAUAUAUGCCCAUAUUAUACUUGAAACUGACAACGCAGAAGACAGCUGUUUUUAUUAAACCAAAAAUAUUAAACUAACUUUAUUUACCAAAGAUUUACCCAAGUCAUGUGAACUUGAAAAGCAUUUGGGUUUCUUUCUAUAUCGCUGGGAGUUUUAGGAAUAUUCCAUGGAGAUAAGUGUUCAUUUAUCUUUCGGCCAAUUUGAAUAGAGCUCCUUUAAGAGAUUUUAUAAAUUCAUUAGUUAAUACCAUCCAGAGGUGGAAAAAAAUCACAUAUACAUAACAUACAUUCAUACAUAAACAUAGAGACAGGCAUAAACAGAGAUCUUGGUUUCAUUCUAAACUUUUAGCCAUGAAUCAUUAAUACAAAACUCAUUGAUUCAUAUCUUCUUUAUAUUUUUAUCCGAAUUAUAUUUCUGACAAAAAUGGGACAAGGUUACCUAUUGAAUAAAGGCUAAAGCCUUUUUUAAAUCAAUAUUUGUAGAGAAGACUUUUAAGAUUUUCUUUUACCCUGAUGUGUAAUCUUAUGAAGUCCGUGGAUACUAUUUUAGGCAAGAGACUAAGGAGACAUCUAGCGGCUGUUUGAAUAUCUCCAAAACACAUCUGAGUGGAUAAAAUAUUCAGUCUAUUUCUACUUAUCCUUUUUCCUUUUGAGCUUCAGGUAGUUGCCUUUGGGGUCACUAAGUCCCUUGAGAGCCCCCAAUGGGGUCGAGCAACCUAAAGGUAAAGAGACUGGGAAGUUGAGGGGUCAAAAUGGGAAGGGAAGUCUGGCAGGAGUGGACAGAGGAAUGGAAGAGGUAGGAGUUUGCCAGGGACAUAUUAAAGCAUUCAAGGCAGCUGAAGAGAAGAUUGAAGGUAGCAAUGAAACCAAGUACCCCAUUUUCUUAAAAGGAAUUAUUUUUACUUUUUUUUCUUUUUCCCUCGCCUCUUACUUAGCUCUUUAGGAAUACAAUUAAAAUCUUUACCUUCUUUUUAGCAGGCACUCCCUGCACUGCAAGCUUAUCUAUGUUUUUGCUUAGAAGUUCCAGGGACCAAAUCUCAAAACAAACAAAGCACCCUCUGGAAUUCUCCCCCACCGGGAGACUGCCUCAAAACAGCAAUUAAUUAACAACCCACUUCUGUCCACGAAAGCACUGACCAGACCAUCAGAUCACAGCAUCACUUAAGGAUGUCUGCUGCCUUCAAUGGCUUGCUGGUAUAAAGAAUGUGACCUCUGAAGAAAUUUGGCAACCUUUGAAACUGGUUAUAGGGCUUUGACUCCUGGAUACACAUAUCUCAUCUAAAGAAGACACUGACUCCUGCCAGUAUCUGACACCAGACUCAAGUUAACCAAAGUCUUCUCUUUAGACUCAGGCAAAGGCAACAAUCAAAAUAAACUGCUUUCAUGAGACACAGGGAAAGGGUGCCCUGCCCUUCCAGCCUGGUACCUUGCCCCUUGGGGCAUAAUAUUUCUGAAAACUGUCCAAAGGACCUGCAUAUUGUUAAGAACAGCUGCAAAAUGUACCAGAGAGAAAGAUCAGAUACAAUCACUGAGAUCACGGGAGGAAUCGCAUCUGGAAAGGCGGAAAGGCAAAGAGAAAGAUCAGAACACUGGAGGCCUGAGUUUAUGGGCUGGAGGAGGUUAAGGGCCGCAAACUGAAAGCUGCACAAAGAGAAUCGGCUGUUGCAUGAAAAGGUAGUUUGCCCGAAUUCACUGGAGCACCUGUCACCAUCCAGGCACUGACCAUUAAGUUCUUCCCGGUCCUCGAUUCCCAGGGUGCGAUAAUGGUGCCAUCUUGGCUUCUCCUGGGCUGAAGUUUCAGUCCCUGCUGUUGAUGAAACGGUGCGCCUCCGCAGAUUCUGGGCUGCGAUCUGCGGUAAUCCCCGGUCGGGACAAGAAGUGCAACGCUUCUUGAGAAAAGUCCAAGUACUCCAAAAUUUUAGCCAUGACUCCACCACCUCAGAAUGCAAGUGUAGACCGCAGCCCAGUGCUUAGUGCAUCCAAGAAUGUUAAUGUUUACACUGCAUGGGCUCCGGCCGCAACAGUGGCACAUUGCAUCCUCUGCUGUGCUCCACCUCCGGGCUUCUGGUUACUACGUACUCUACACAAGCUUAAGUGUUUCCUGUGUUGGGCUCCUGCUGUGGGCCUGGGCAAGUUUCCACUUUUUCCCUGCCUCCUCCUCCUUCCACCUUUUCUCCCUUUUUCUAGAAAUAAAAUCCUAAUCUUAUGCUCAGAAAUAAAUAAAAUUUUAUUGUCAAAUAAAAGAGGCAGGCCAAAUUGAGGACUAUGGUUCUCCCUUCAAGAUGUGUUUUGCGGACGCUCCAGGAGAUGUUAAUAUCCUGAGCACUGGAAAUAGCUUCCAAUAAUAGGCCCUAUGCUUGGUAUCAUACUAUGAUAUUGGUCUAUCGUAUUUUUCCCUUUGCAACUAUCAUUAUCUUCAGCACCAUUUUGUGAAAGAAACUAAACCAUUUUCAUGGACCGCUAAGGGUGUCAUUGGGCUUAGGUACCUCACCUACUGUACCUAAUGGAUAAGUGCCCCUGCCUCAUAUUUCUGCAAGAUGGCUAAGAAAUCAGCUUAAAAAAAAAGGUGAUUAAACAAUUCACUUUUAAAAAGAUGUCAAGGGAUGGCAAUCUCACAACCUCUCUCUGACUUCAACCAAAAUCUGACUUUUGUUGGAGUCUGGCCCCCUCUCCUUCUCUUGACUAAUCAGUUCAUGAUCAAUUUUCAGCCUUGGAUCAAAUACUGCAUGAGAGACAUGUAAGAGUUUUAAUCAUGGAGUGCAGUAGACUAGCUGGGACAUCUGUGUCAGCUCGAUGUUCUUCCACAUCUCAGAUUUCCACAGUGUACCCCAGUGUUUUCUCACCUUCAGUCACUCAUAGGCAUCUUAGGUGAGUGUUGUUGCCCUAUGUGGGCACCAGAAAAGCUAGUACUUACUUAAAUGUUUUACUUUAAAUAUAAUUUAAUUUUUAAUUUUUGAUUCACUCUUGAAAACCUUAAGUACCUAGUGGAACCCUCAUCCUAAGCAAAAAUAGCCACAAAUCACGGCCUGAUGUAACAGAUUUAUGUGAGCAGCGACCCCAGAACCCGACUGGGUAUCUGAAUCAUGGCUUCACUCACUACUUGCUAGCUGGCUAAUCUG